AACGAACGCUGGCGGCAUGCCUAACACAUGCAAGUCGAACGAGACCUUCGGGUCUAGUGGCGCACGGGUGCGUAACGCGUGGGAACCUGCCCUUAGGUUCGGAAUAACUCCCAGAAAGGGGUGCUAAUACCGGAUAAUGUCUUCGGACCAAAGAUUUAUCGCCUUUGGAUGGGCCCGCGUUGGAUUAGCUAGUUGGUAGGGUAAAAGCCUACCAAGGCGACGAUCCAUAGCUGGUCUGAGAGGAUGAUCAGCCACACUGGGACUGAGACACGGCCCAGACUCCUACGGGAGGCAGCAGUGGGGAAUAUUGGAACAUGGGCGAAAGCCUGAUCCAGCAAGGCCGCGUGAGUGAUGAAGGCCUUAGGGUUGUAAAGCGCUUUUACCCGGGAUGAUAAUGACAGUACCGGGAGAAUAAGCUCCGGCUAACUCCGUG
rnacentral:rRNA from 1 species